AUGGCGGCCGCGCGGCAAGCGGCGGGCGCGUCCGGCAGCCUCCACCAGCACCCGGUGCAGCAUGCGCACCUCGCGGCGCUCCUCAACCCGACCCCGCGCACGCCGCCCCUCCCGCCCCCGCUCCGCCGGCGCCACCUCCCGCUCUCGCCCCAGGCCGCCUCCCGCCUCGCGGCCUCCUUCCCGCCGCUGCCGCUCCUCCUCGCGCUGCUCUCCGCGCUCCGCCUCCUCCCUUCCCCGCCGCCGCCGCGGCCCUUCGACGCGCUCAUCAGGGCCUACGCCUCCCUCCCCUCCCCGUCCCUCGCCGCCGCGGCGCUCGCGUUCGCCAGGUCGGCGGGCUACGCGCCCUCCCUCCCCGCCUACAACGCCGUGCUCCUCGCGCUCUCCGACGCCUCGCUCGCCUCCGCGCGGCGCUUCCUCGAGGGCUCCAUGCUCCGCGCCGGCGUGGCCCCCAACGUGUACACCUACAACAUCCUCGUCCGCGCGCUCUGCGCCCGCGGCCGCCGCGAGGAGGCGCUCGCGGCCGUCGUGGACGGCGACAUGCGCGCCGCGGGGUGCGCGCCCAACGCCGUCACCUACAACACGCUCGUCGCCGCGUUCUGCAGGGCCGGGGACGUGGGCGGCGCGGAGAGGCUCGUCGCCGCGAUGCGGGAGGCCGGGGUGAGGCCGAGCCUGGUGACCUUCAACACGGUGGUGAACGGGAUGUGCAAGGCGGGGAGGAUGGAGGACGCGCGCAAGGUGUUCGACGGAAUGGCGAGGGAGGGGUUGGCCCCCGAUGGGGUCAGUUAUAACACCUUGGUGAGUGGGUACUGCAAGGCAGGCUGCCUGCAUGAGGCGCUGACGGUGUUCUCAGAGAUGUCUCAGAAAGGGGUUGCACCAGAUGUUGUGACGUUUACGUCGCUUAUCCAUGCGAUGUGCAGGGCUGGGAACUUGGAGCGGGCAGUGGCCCUGGUGGGGCAGAUGAAGGAGAGGGGCCUCCGGAUGAAUGAGAUCGCUUUCACAGCACUGAUAGACGGGUUCUGCAAGAACGGGUUCUUGGAUGACGCAUUGCUCGCACUGAAGGAGAUGAGGGAAUGCAGGAUCAAGCCUUCAGUAGUGUGCUACAAUGCGCUUAUCAAUGGUUACUGCAAGUUAGGAAGAAUGGACGAAGCGAGGGAGUUGGUCGAUGAAAUGGAGGCUAAAGGAGUGAAGCCUGACGUCGUGACAUAUAGUACAAUUCUCAGUGGGUACUGUAAGAUUGGUGAUACAGAUUCUGCAUUUGAAUUGAACCGGAAAAUGCUGAAAAAAGGCGUGAUUCCAGAUGCAAUCACCUACUCAUCGCUCAUAAGGGGUCUUUGCGAGGAGAAAAGACUCAGUGAUGCAUGUGAACUCUUUGAGAAGAUGCUUCAACUUGGCCUACAGCCUGAUGAAUUUACUUAUACAAUACUGAUUGAUGGCCAUUGCAAGGAGUGGGAUGUUGAGAAAGCUCUUUCUCUGCACGAUGAGAUGAUAAAGAAAGGAGUUCUCCCUGAUGUUGUGACAUACAGUGUGCUUAUAGAUGGGCUUAGCAAGUCAGCACGUACAAAGGAAGCACAACGGUUACUCUUCAAGCUGUACUACGAAGACCCUGUUCCAGACAAUAUUAAAUAUGAGGCUCUGAUGCGUUGUUGCAGGAAAGCUGAGUUCAAGAGUGUGGUGGCUCUUCUUAAGGGAUUUUCCAUGAAAGGCUUGAUGAAUGAAGCCGACAAAGUUUACCAGUCAAUGUUGGACAGAGGUUGGAAGCUGGAUGGUUCAGUGUAUGCUGUACUCAUUCAUGGGCAUUGUCGGGGAGGAAAUGUUCUGAAGGCUCUCAACUUCCAUAAGAAAAUGCUGCAGUGUGGUUUUCCUCCUAAUUCAACAAGCACUAUUUCAUUGGUUAGGGGCCUAUUUGAAGAGGGGAUGACUGUUGAAGCAGAUACCGUGAUUCAGGAGUUGCUGAAUUGCUGUUCGCUAGCAGAUGCAGAAACAUCGAAGGCCCUUAUUGAUCUCAAUCGGAACGAAGGUAACGUGGACGCUGUGGUUGAUGUCCUCCGUGGCAUGACAAGGGAUGGGCUACUUCCAAGCUCAGGGUGA
rnacentral:rRNA from 1 species